rnacentral:rRNA from 1 species
AUUGAACGCUGGCGGCAUGCUUUACACAUGCAAGUCGAACGGUAACAGGCCGCAAGGUGCUGACGAGUGGCGAACGGGUGAGUAAUGCAUCGGAACGUGCCCAGUCGUGGGGGAUAACGCAGCGAAAGCUGCGCUAAUACCGCAUACGAUCUAUGGAUGAAAGCGGGGGACCGUAAGGCCUCGCGCGAUUGGAGCGGCCGAUGUCAGAUUAGGUAGUUGGUGGGGUAAAGGCUCACCAAGCCGACGAUCUGUAGCUGGUCUGAGAGGACGACCAGCCACACUGGGACUGAGACACGGCCCAGACUCCUACGGGAGGCAGCGGUGGGGAAUUUUGGACAAUGGGCGCAAGCCUGAUCCAGCAAUGCCGCGUGCAGGAAGAAGGCCUUCGGGUUGUAAACUGCUUUUGUACGGAACGAAAAGGCUCUGGUUAAUACCUGGGGCUCAUGACGGUACCGUAAGAAUAAGCACCGGCUAACUACGUGCCAGCAGCCGCAGUAAGAC